GGAGAUUGCUGGCAAGAUGGCCAUAUGGGAACAGCUCCGGGCUGCAGCUCCUAGCGAGAUCAACACAGAAGGCGGGUGAUUUCGGCAUUUCCAACUGAGACAGGGAUCAGAUUCAGUAUAUGCUGUCCCAAAACACUGGCAUCUGAGAAAACAGCAGAAGCAUUUUACUCUCACCUCUCCCACCUUUCCCCUGAAGUAGGUCAAAAGAUCCUCAUUGCGAAGUCCCCUCCUUAUACCCAGAGAAAGGAAACAUCCUUACCUUUGAAGGAACAGGGACACAGGAAAGAAUCCAAGUUCUCCUGCAGAAGAAUGUGGAAGAGAAUGAAUUUAUGCAAGCCAAGGUUAUCCCAGGCAAGUCAGAGCCCAACAAAGCCACCAGCUGACCACAGAUGUAUAAAGGAUGAGAUCAGCCAAGCCUCAUCUAGAUCAUCAGAACAGCCAGCCAAAAAGCAGAACCAUGAAAAAUAACAAAUGCUUGUUGCUUUAAGCCACUCAUUUGGGGAGAAAGUUGGUAUGCAGAAAUAAAUAACUGAUACAGUAAAAUAAGUAAAGUUAAAGGGAAC